rnacentral:rRNA from 1 species
UACGAAGGGGGCUAGCGUUGCUCGGAAUUACUGGGCGUAAAGCGCACGUAGGCGGCUUGUUAAGUCGGGGGUGAAAUCCUGGAGCUCAACUCCAGAACUGCCUUCGAUACUGGCGAGCUCGAGUUCGGGAGAGGUGAGUGGGAACUGCGAGUGUAGAGGUGAAAUUCGUAGAUAUUCGCAAGAACACCAGUGGCGAAGGCGGCUCACUGGCCCGGUACUGACGCUGAGGUGCGGAAAGCGUGGGGAGCAAACAGG